rnacentral:rRNA from 1 species
AACGAACGCUGGCGGCAGGCCUAAAACAUGCAAGUCGAGCGGGCAUAGCAAUAUGUCAGCGGCGGACGGGUGAAUAACACGUGGGAACAUGCCCUUUGGUACGGAACAACUCAGGGAAACUUGAGCUAAUACCGUAUGUGCCGGUAACGGGAAAGAUUUAUCGCCAAAGGAUUGGCCCGCGUCCGAUUAGCUAGUUGGUGAGGUAACGGCUCACCAAGGCGACGAUCGGUAGCUGGUUUGAGAGAACGAUCAGCCACACUGGGACUGAGACACGGCCCAGACUCCUACGGGAGGCAGCAGUUGGGAAUCUUGGACAAUGGGGGAAACCCGU